GUGCCAGCAGCCGCGGUAAUACGGAGGAUGCAAGCGUUAUCCGGAUUUAUUGGGUUUAAAGGGUGCGCAGGCGGAGAGAUAAGUCAGUGGUGAAAAAUACGUGCUUAACAUGUACCGUGCCAUUGAUACUGUCUUUCUAGUAUGCAGGGGGCGUACCGGAAUGUGUUAUGUAGCGGUGAAAUGCAUAGAUAUAACACAGAACGCCGAUCGUGAAGACAGGUUACGAACCUGCGAUAGACGCUCAAGCACGAAAGCGUGGGGAUCAAACAGGAUUAGAUACCCUGGUAGUCCACGCUGUAAACGAUGAUGACUUGUUGUUGGGUGGCGACACUCAGUGGCUAAGCGAAAGCGAUAAGUCAUCCACCUGGGGAGUACGAUUCGCAAGGUUGAAACUCAAAGGAAUUGACGGGGGCCCGCACAAGCGGAGGAGCAUGUGGUUUAAUUCGAUGAUACGCGAGGAACCUUACCCAGGCUUGAAUUGCAUCUGAAGGGCGCGGAGACGCGUUCGCCUUCGGGCAGAUGUGAAGGUGCUGCAUGGUUGUCGUCAGCUCGUGUCGUGAGAUGUCAGGUUAAGUCCUAUAACGAGCGCAACCCUUACUGCCAGUUGCCAGCGGCAAGGCCGGGGACUCUGGCGGGACUGCCUGCGCAAGCAGAGAGGAAGGUGGGGAUGACGUCAAAUCAGCACGGCCCUUAUGUCUGGGGCUACACACGUGCUACAAUGGCCGGCACAGAGGGCAGCUACACCGCGAGGUGGUGCGAAUCUCGAAAGCCGGUCUCAGUUCGGAUCGGAGUCUGCAACCCGACUCCGUGAAGUUGGAUUCGCUAGUAAUCGCGCAUCAGCCAUGGCGCGGUGAAUACGUUCCCGGGCCUUGUACACACCGCCCGU
rnacentral:rRNA from 1 species